AGAAGCAGUCCGAAAACUUUGGCAGAAACAAGGGGGAUGGCGGCGAUCCCUGGCUCGGGCGUUCCCGGUUCGCGACGCAGCGCACUCUGGAUUUAAAAGUGCUUCUCGGAUCGCACGUGUUCACUUUGGAAACGUUCUCGGCGCAAUGAAAAACAGAUGAACACUCCGUCCUUUUCCCGCCAAGCAAACGUCUCUUUUUUAGAGGUGAAGGGUGACUGUGACGUCCACGUGGUGUCUUCCAGUGGAGAAGACGGUCCUCAGGGGAAGGGGGGAUCGACAAACGGGAUACAGAGACCAGCCUGUCGCACACGUAUGACGCUGUUAAACUUUUCAGAACUGCUGUGUCGUGUUCACUCUCGACAGCCUCUUCCCUUUGUCGCGCUGCAUCCUCUAUGUGUUUCAGGCGCUUACUCUUUGUCUUCGCAGGUCAGAGCGCAGAGGGGAGGUCGGCAGGAACGGGGUUACGUGGCUCGCACUCUUUGCUCCUCGCGGGCUCUCUCCCAAGUGGAGAGGCGCCUCCACCGGACAUUCAUUGAUUUGUUGAGGCUGAACCGCUUCAGCAGUUAGGCCUCUCUGAGCGGGAAAGAUACGACCGUGAUGUCCUGCACAAAACAGUUCCACGGACAUCGCUUUGAGAGCCUCGCGUUCGCGGGUGAGGCCAAGAGCGGAACGCGUCUGCUGCGUUGCCGUCGCUGUGUCUUCGAAACGUACCAGUUUCCGUUGCUACGUUGCUACUGACGGCCGGGAGGAGAGCAUUCUUCGCGAGCCGCAACGCAGUGAGUUGCGGAGGCAUUCCAUGCCUAGUGAUGCGCCCCGUCCCCCUGGACUGCUCAGCAAGGAUGUGCAUCGACACAGAUUACACAUUUUUGUUUGCCUGCGUUGUGCGAGGAGACGGAGCAAGCAGUUGGGCGGGAAGAAGGCAGCUGUUGAAGCGGGGACGCACCUUGUGCAGUCAUACAAGCAGCAUCCUUACAGACCAGAGAAAGACCGACACCGCCGCUGGCUUUUUUGUGACACACUGCUUGUCCCGGUAUGCGCCCCGCGGAUACUCGUAUGCACUGACGUAGGCUCCCCCCGCUCCAAACGGACCAUCGGCAAACUUGUCAAUCACAGACUGCAGCGGUUC
rnacentral:lncRNA from 1 species